rnacentral:tRNA from 1 species
GCCGGGGUGGUGGAAUGGUAGACACGUCAGCCUUAAGAGCUGGUGGAGCAACAGCUCCGUGCAGGUUCGAGUCCUGUCCCCGGCA